rnacentral:lncRNA from 1 species
CUUGAGGUGAUAUCUUUGGCAAUAAAGAAGCCGAUGAGAAUGGAACUGUGGGUUGGACUAGCAUGCUUUUCCAUGGGACCCGGCUAGGCCGUUGGACAAGACCGGCCAGGAGAUGGAAAUAGUACACUCCCCUGAUCCAGGCGGUUUUCCCAGGAAACACAUAAACUUGUUCCUAGUUGCCUGCAAAAAUGGUCCACCUCCAUUCUGUACUCGCGAUUAAAGAACAACUAGUUAAGAGCCCGCGAGUUGUUACGGAAAAAAAAUAAAUGCAAAAGAUAAAAUUAAUCUCAUAAUUUUUUUUCUUUUCUUUCUUUCAAUCUUAUUUGGUUUGACAUGUCAGUGCACAUUUGACGAUGGAUGACAACUCAUUGAGCACUAAACUAAAAACAUGUGACAAUGACAACACUCAUACAUAGUGGAAUGGAGGUGAAAAUACAAUCAACUUAGAUUUUAUACUUUUCCUAUCCAUAAUAAGUGUCUUAAAUUUUGUACUAACUUAGUAUACAAAGUUGUACUAUCUGGAUGGGAAGGAGUAACUAAUUAUAACGGGCAGCUAAAAUAAAAUACAUUGUAUGUUCGAUCAGAUCUCAGCUCUAACUGUGAAAAAAUCAGUUGAGAAAAAGAAAGCUUCACUCACUUCAACGUGUACCAAAUACCUGUGCAUUCCCAACUUAAUUCAAAGCGGUCAACAAUCAAGAAAACAAAUUCGUACUUCAUGUCGUUAAGAAGGAGCAUAAGCUAUUCUGAAUACGCAAUAAACAUUUAUCCAUCGAAUUAGGAAACACAAAUAGGUAUUUCCACAACUGAC